CCUACGGGAGGCAGCAGUGGGGAAUAUUGGACAAUGGGCGAAAGCCUGAACCAGCAAAGCCGCGUGAAGGAUGAAGGGUUUCGGCUCGUAAACUUCUAUUUACAGGGAAGAAAGACAUGACGGUACCUGCAUAUGAAGUCUCGGUUAACUACGUGCAAGCAGACGCUGCAAGACGGAGGGGGCAAGAGUUAUCCGGAUUUACUGGGUGUACAGGGUGAGUAGGUGGCAUGGUAAGCCAGAUGUGAAAGCUUUCGGCUUAACCCGAGGAUUGCAUUUGGAAUUAUCUGGCUAGAGUACAGGGGAGGAAGGCGGAAUUCCUAGUGUAGCGGUGAAAUGCGUAGAGAUUAGGAAGAACACCAGUGGCGAAGGCGGCUUUCUGGACUGAAACUGACGCUGAGGCACGAAAGCGUGGGGAGCGAACAGGAUUAGAUACCCGAGUAGUC
rnacentral:rRNA from 1 species